UGUAUUCACUACUGUAAGUUGCUCUGGAUAAGAGCGUCUGCUAAAUGACUGAAA
rfam:Salmo salar isolate Sally breed double haploid chromosome ssa18, whole genome shotgun sequence.